GAUCAAGAUAUUAAGGGCACACGGUGGAUGCCUUGGCGCUGGAAGCCGAUGAAGGACGUGGCAAGCUGCGAUAAGCCUCGGGUAGGUGCACACAACCGCUAAUCCGAGGAUUUCCGAAUGGGGAAA
rnacentral:rRNA from 1 species